rnacentral:rRNA from 1 species
CGCAAGACUGAAACUCAAAGGAAUUGACGGGGGCCCGCACAAGCGGUGGAGCAUGUGGUUUAAUUCGAAGCAACGCGAAGAACCUUACCAGGUCUUGACAUCCCGUUGACCACUGUAGAGAUAUAGUUUCCCCUUGGGGGGCAACGGUGACAGGUGGUGCAUGGUUGUCGUCAGCUCGUGUCGUGAGAUGUUGGGUUAAGUCCCGCAACGAGCGCAACCCUUGAUCUUAGUUGCCAUCAUUUAGUUGGGCACUCUAAGGUGACUGCCGGUGACAAACCGGAGGAAGGUGGGGAU